rnacentral:snRNA from 1 species
GUCCUUUCAGGGACAUCUGAUAAAAUUGGAACGAUACAUAGAUGAUUACCAUGACCCUUGCACAAGGAUGACACGCACGAAUAGGGGAAAAAAAAGUGAACGU